AACAAACGCUGGCGGCGUGCCUAACACAUGCAAGUCGUGCGAGAAAGUCCCCUUCGGGGGGCGAGUAAAGCGGCGAAAGGGUGAGUAACACGUGGGUAACCUGCCCUCGGGAUCGGGAUAACGUGCCGAAAGGUGCGCUAAUACCGGAUAAGACCACGCGGACGAUGUCCGAGCGGUCAAAGAUGGCCUCUCGACGAAGCUAUUACCUGGGGAUGGGCCCGCGGCCUAUUAGCUUGUUGGUAGGGUAACGGCCUACCAAGGCUCUGAUGGGUAGCCGGCCUGAGAGGGUGUACGGCCACACUGGAACUGAGACACGGUCCAGACUCCUACGGGAGGCAGCAGUGGGGAAUUUUGCGCAAUGGGGGAAACCCUGACGCAGCAACGCCGCGUGAGUGAUGAAGGCCUUCGGGUCGUAAAGCUCUUUUGGAGGGAAAGAAAUGUGUCGUGGCUAACAUCCACGGCAUUUGACGGUACCCUCAGAAAAAGUUCCGGCUAACUCCGUGCCAGCCGCCGCCGUAAUAC
rnacentral:rRNA from 1 species